UACGUAGGGGGCAAGCGUUGUCCGGAAUCAUUUGGGCGUAAAGAAGCGCGUGAGGCGGUCCGUAUAAAGUCGGGUUGUGAAAACCUGGGGGCUCAACCCUCAGAUGGCCGACCGAGUACUGUCGGGCUAGAGUCGGAAGAGGUCGAGUGGAAUUCCUGGUGUAGCGGUGAAAUGCGCAGAUAUCAGGAGGACACCAAUGGCGAAGGCGGCCUUCUGGACAGUGACAUGACGCUGGAGAACGCGAAAGCGUGGGGAGCAAACAGG
rnacentral:rRNA from 1 species